UGCCAGCCGCCGCGGUAAUACGGAGGGUGCAAGCGUUGUUCGGAAUUACUGGGCGUAAGCGCACGUAGGCGGAUUAGUAAGUUAGGGGUGAAAUCCCGGGGCUCAACCCCGGAACUGCCUCUAAUACUGCUAGUCUUGAGUUCGAGAGAGGUGAGUGGAAUUCCGAGUGUAGAGGUGAAAUUCGUAGAUAUUCGGAGGAACACCAGUGGCGAAGGCGGCUCACUGGAUGAGUAUUGAUGCUGAGGCGCGAAAGCGUGGGGAGCAAACAGGAUUAGAUA
rnacentral:rRNA from 1 species